UACGUAGGUGGCAAGCGUUUGUCCGGAUUUACUGGGCGUAAAGGGCGUGCAGGCGGUUGGUUAAGUCUAGGGUGAAAGCUCCCGGCUCAACUGGGAGAGGUCCUUGGAUACUGGCCGACUUGAGGGAGGCAGAGGAGAGUGGAAUUCCCGGUGUAGUGGUGAUAUGCGUAGAUAUCGGGAGGAACACCAGUGGCGAAGGCGGCUCUCUGGGCCUUACCUGCGCUGAGACGCGAAAAGCGUGGGGG
rnacentral:rRNA from 1 species